GGGGUUGUGGCUCAGUGGUAGAGCACUUGCCUAGCACGUAUGAGGCCCUGGGUUCGAUCCUCAGCACCA
rnacentral:tRNA from 1 species